rnacentral:rRNA from 1 species
UACGUAGGGGGCUAGCGUUGUCCGGAAUCAUUGGGCGUAAAGCGCGUGUAGGCGGCCCGGUAAGUCCGCUGUGAAAGUCGGGGGCUCAACCCUCGGAUGCCGGUGGAUACUGUCGGGCUCGAGUACGGAAGAGGCGAGUGGAAUUCCUGGUGUAGCGGUGGAAAUGCGCAGAUAUCAGGAGGAACACCAGUAGCGGAAGGCAGACUCUGGGCCGUAACUGACGCUGAGGAGCGAAAGCAUGGGGAGCGAACAGG